rnacentral:rRNA from 1 species
UACAGGGGGGGCAAGCGUUGUUCGGAAUUACUGGGCGUAAAGCGCACGUAGGCGGCUUUCUAAGUCGGGGGUGAAAUCCUGGAGCUCAACUCCAGAACUGCCUUUGAUACUGGGGAUCUCGAGUCCGGGAGAGGUGAGUGGAACUGCGAGUGUAGAGGUGAAAUUCGUAGAUAUUCGCAAGAACACCAGUGGCGAAGGCGGCUCCCUGGCCCGGUACUGACGCUGAGGUGCGAAAGCGUGGGGAGCAAACAGG